GAUGAACGCUGGCGGCGUGCCUAAUACAUGCAAGUCGAGCGAAUGGAUUAAGAGCUUGCUCUUAUGAAGUUAGCGGUGGACGGGUGAGUAACACGUGGGUAACCUGCCCGUAAGACUGGGAUAACUCCGGGAAACCGGGGCUAAUACCGGAUAACAUUUUGAACCGCAUGGUUCGAAAUUGAAAGGCGGCUUCGGCUGUCACUUAUGGAUGGACCCGCGUCGCAUUAGCUAGUUGGUGAGGUAACGGCUCACCAAGGCAACGAUGCGUAGCCGACCUGAGAGGGUGAUCGGCCACACUGGGACUGAGACACGGCCCAGACUCCUACGGGAGGCAGCAGUAGGGAAUCUUCCGCAAUGGACGAAAGUCUGACGGAGCAACGCCGCGUGAGUGAUGAAGGCUUUCGGGUCGUAAAGCUCUGUUGUUAGGGAAGAACAAGUGCUAGUUGAAUAAGCUGGCGCCUUGACGGUACCUAACCAGAAAGCCACGGCUAACUACGUGCCAGCCGCCGCUGUAA
rnacentral:rRNA from 1 species